rnacentral:rRNA from 1 species
AGCGAACGCUGGCGGCAGGCUUAACACAUGCAAGUCGAGCGGGGGAGGUUGCUUCGGUAACUGACCUAGCGGCGGACGGGUGAGUAAUGCUUAGGAAUCUGCCUAUUAGUGGGGGACAACAUUCCGAAAGGGAUGCUAAUACCGCAUACGCCCUACGGGGGAAAGCAGGGGAUCUUCGGACCUUGCGCUAAUAGAUGAGCCUAAGUCGGAUUAGCUAGUUGGUGGGGUAAAGGCCUACCAAGGCGACGAUCUGUAGCGGGUCUGAGAGGAUGAUCCGCCACACUGGGACUGAGACACGGCCCAGACUCCUACGGGAGGCAACAGUGGGGAAUAUUGGACAAUGGGCGGAAGCCUGAUCCAGCCAUGCCGCGUGUGUGAAGAAGGCCUUUUGGUUGUAAAGCACUUUAAGCGAGGAGGAGGCUCUUAAGGUUAAUACCCUUGAUGAGUGGACGUUACUCGCAGAAUAAGCACCGGCUAACUCUGUGCCAGCCGCCGCGGUAAAAC